rnacentral:lncRNA from 1 species
ACAUGUGGCAUAUUGUCACCUGGGGAGCCAAAGAGAAGCCAAAGUCUAGAGAUCUAGAUUCUAGACCGAGCUUUCCUGGAAACCCUCUGAGGGUGGGCCCUGAGGCAGACCCUUGGGUUAGCAGAAGAAAACCUUCUCCCAUGUUUGCCCAUACAAUCCCUCACAAGACCUGAGAUGAAAGGCAAUGGAUGGUACCAUCGUGACCUGUCACAGACACAUGCAUGUUACAUAUUUGUGAUUAUUACCUAUCAAACCCUCUCACCACCUCCUCACACCACGGAAAUCAAUCAGCCCUUUUGGGGAAGAGGAUGUGAAGAAAAGUCUCCCUCUAGAAUAACAACCUGGCCUCGUGGAAAAUGGCCUACAUUGGAGGACACCGAGUUAGUGUCGGGAUAU